CUACGGGGGGCUCCAGUGGGGAAUAUUGGGCAAUGGGCGCAAGCCUGACCCAGCAACGCCGCGUGAGGGAAGAAGGUUUUCGGAUUGUAAACCUCUGUCCUUGGGGACGAAGAAGUGACGGUACCCAAGGAGGAAGCUCCGGCUAACGUACGUGCCAGCAGCCGCGGUAAUACGUAGGGAGCAAGCGUUGUCCGGAAUUACUGGGCGUAAAGGGUGCGUAGGCGGCAUAUUAAGUCAGGUGUGAAAUACUCGGGCUCAACCCGAGGGGUGCAUUUGAAACUGAUAAGCUUGAGUGUGAGAGAGGAAAGUGAAAUUCCUAGUGUAGCGGUGGAAUGCGUAGAUAUUAGGAGGAACACCAGUGGCGAAGGCGACUUUCUGGCUCAUAACUGACGCUGAGGCACGAAAGCGUGGGGAGCAAACAGGAUUAGAUACCCGCGUAGUC
rnacentral:rRNA from 1 species